GACGAACGCUGGCGGUGUGCUUAACACAUGCAAGUCGAGCGGUAAGGCCCUUUCGGGGGUACACGAGCGGCGAACGGGUGAGUAACACGUGGGUGACCUGCCCUCAGCUCUGGGAUAAGCCUGGGAAACCGGGUCUAAUACUGGAUAUGACUCCAUGACGCAUGCUGUGGGGUGGAAAGCCUUGUGCGGCUGAGGAUGGGCCCGCGGCCUAUCAGCUUGUUGGUGGGGNGAUGGCCUACCAAGGCGACGACGGGUAGCCGGCCUGAGAGGGCGACCGGCCACACUGGGACUGAGACACGGCCCAGACUCCUACGGGAGGCAGCAGUGGGGAAUCUUGCGCAAUGGGCGAAAGCCUGACGCAGCGACGCCGCGUGAGGGAUGACGGCCUGG
rnacentral:rRNA from 1 species